AUUUUUAAUCGGGUAAUACCCGAAACCCGUUUCCUACACAAAAAUGUGCAGCUUGCAAUCGCAGAUGUGAUUCUCUCCCUCGUCGGCCUUGCUCUGUUGCUCAGAAGCUCUCCCUCAUCAUUCUCAAGUCUCCACCUGAUUUUCUGAAUAAUCUAUAGUUGAACCCUAUGGAACCUAGUGCUGCUAUGCCUUCAUUUGAGUCUGAAUCAAUGCCCAAUGUGAUUCAUUUGGAUAACACUCUACCUCCAACGUUAGAUAGCUCUCUCCCUACAACUAAUCCUCAAGUUCACCCUCCUAUCUCAAGAAGACAGGGUAGAUCUGAAAUAUGGCAACACUUUACGGGGGUUGAAGAUGUCAAGGAUCCUGAUGAGCCCAAAGCUAGAUGCGAUUAUUGUGGUAAGGUUUUGUUAUGUCAUCCUAAAAGACAAGGUACUUCAUCCUUGAAGUACCAUAAUGAGAGAUGUAAAGUCUUUAAUACUAGUGGGUUGGAAGGGAUAACCCCAAUAAAAAAUGACCAGGACUAGGAAGAUGAGGGUGGAUGGUAUAACUAGCAGUCCUAAUGUUGGACUUACCAAGUAUAACGAACAGAAAAUACAGUCAACGGUAGCAAAGAUGAUAAUUAUGGAUGAGCUACCAUUUAGAUUUAUAGAAAAACAAGGUUUUAAAGACUUUAUGGCCGUAGUUGAGUUUAGAUUUCCAAUUCCCUCUCGCAUUACUGUUAUGGGAGAUUGUAUGAAGAUGUACAUGUUAGAAGAAAAAAAAGUUGAAGAACAUGUUCAUGCUAUCUGAUUAUAAGAUUUGCAUUAAUACUGACAUGUGGACAUCAAUUCAAAA